GACGAACGCUGGCGGCGUGGAUUAGGCAUGCAAGUCGGACGGUAGGGCUUUAUCGUAAGAUAGAGUUUGAGAGUGGCGAACGGGUGAGUAACACGUAGGAAUCUACCCUUAAGACGGGGACAACCCAGGGAAACUUGGGCUAAUACCGGAUGAGAGUGCGAGAGAUUGCAUUUAAAAGGAUGGCGAAAGUUGUCGCUUAGGGAUGAGCCUGCGGUCUAUUAGUUAGUUGGUGAGGUAAGAGCUCACCAAGGCGAUGAUAGAUAGGCGGCCUUAACGGGUGGUCGCCCACACUGGGAUUGAGAUACGGCCCAGACUCCUACGGGAGGCAGCAGUCGAGAAUAGUCUACAAUGGCCGGAAGGCUGAUAGUGCGACGCCGCGUGAACGAGGGAGCCCUUCGGGGUGUAAAGUUCUUUUAUAUGUGAGCAGUGCUUCUUAUAUUAACAGUAUGGGGAGAGAGAUAUUAGCAUAUAGAAUAAGCAACGGCUAACUCCGUGCCAGCACG
rnacentral:rRNA from 1 species